rnacentral:hammerhead_ribozyme from 1 species
AUUCAGCUGAUGAGUCCUAAAUGAGACGAAACGCGCAUCAUGCUGGAU